rnacentral:lncRNA from 1 species
AUGCCAAGGAGCAGGGCGCCAAGACAGAGGGUGGCGCUGAGGGCUGAGCCCACCCCCACCCCAGGCCCUGGCUCUGCGACCUGGGUGGGCCCAGCUGUGCAUCCCCUCCCUGGGUGGGGACGGGUGGCCAGCUGCCCACCAGACAGUGCCCCCACCCUGAGACUCCUGAAAGCAAUUAGUGAGGCCAGCCCCCAGCCGGGCAGGUCUCACGCAGGCGUUGCCCUGGUUCCACGAGUCCCGAGUCUCUGCCAGAGGACAUUUCAAUCCCCGCUGCAUCCGACCCUCCUGCAGGGGGAACGUUGCACACAUGGGAGCAGGCCCCACGUGGCGGGGGGGUGGGGGGCACAGCCCAGGAGGCGCCCCAGCGCAGGGCUGACGGGCCCCUCGACCCCAGGGAACAGGGGUGGUGGCAGCUUCGGGACCAGAAAAAACAUGUGGUGGGUUCCCCUGGCCUUCGCUGCCAGACUGGCUGCUGCCUGGUGGCCGCCCAGUGUCCUCCGUGCCUGCCUGGAAUCCCACCUCAGCCCCCCGCCUGGGAGAACCCCACCUUGCUGUCUGGGGACCUCGAUACCCUGCUCCCCAGCCUGCCCUGUCCCACCUGCCCAGCCUGGGGGUCAGAGGGCACCUGAGGCCUGGGUGGCAUCAAGCCCUCUGUGCCUGUUGUACAGGCCCCAGGCCGUCGCUUUUGUGCAGGAGGCUGGCUGCAGAGCUGGGGACGGGACUGCUGUAAAAACGGAAACAGCCCCCAGACCUCGUGACCGGAGUGGAGCUGGGCUGCUGCGCCCGCCGUGCCAUGGCCCCUGGGGAGUCUGGAGCCCAGGCGUGGCCGAGGGCCAGAGCUCUCUGAGCCUCCUGUCCCCUCCCACCACCACCUGGGUGGGGGAGUGCCUGUCUGUGCACCCGUUAGCGGGCACUUGCUCUAUGCUCACUGGGCCUUCAAGUUGGAACUGCGGAGAGACAAGGUCAGGUGCCCAGCAGGCUAGUGCCUUGCGGGCUGGGGGGCUGGGUUCAGGGGUUCUUGGGAUGGACUGGGGCCAGGGCCUCGUGGAGCAUCUUGGGGACCCCUGA